rnacentral:rRNA from 1 species
AACGAACGCUGGCGGCAGGCUUAACACAUGCAAGUCGAACGCAUCCUUCGGGGUGAGUGGCAGACGGGUGAGUAACGCGUGGAACGUGCCCUUCAGCUCGGGAUAACCCAGGGAAACUUGGGCUAAUACCGGAUACGUGCGAGAGCAGAAAGAUUUAUCGCUGAAGGAUCGGCCCGCGUCUGAUUAGCUGGUUGGUGGGGUAAUGGCCCACCAAGGCGACGAUCAGUAGCUGGUCUGAGAGGAUGAUCAGCCACAUUGGGACUGAGACACGGCCCAAACUCCUACGGGAGGCAGCAGUGGGGAAUAUUGGACAAUGGGCGCAAGCCUGAUCCAGCCAUGCCGCGUGAGUGAUGAAGGCCUUAGGGUUGUAAAGCUCUUUCGUCCGGGACGAUAAUGACGGUACCGGAAGAAGAAGCCCCGGCUAACUUCGUGCCAGCAGCCGCCGUAA